GGAAGUAAAAUCGUAACAAGGUUUCCGUAGGUGAACCUGCGGAAGGAUCAUUACCGAGUGCGUCCGUUAAAUCGGACUCCUCCCCACCCUUGUGUAUUUUAGCUGAAAAGCAGCUUCGGCGGGCCGUCUUACCUCAAUUCUGGGGUUUUGACAUCGGCCCUGUGCGGAUUUGUGCCCGCCGAAGAACCAACUCUUUGACAACUUGAAGUCUGAUAACAAUUGAUAAAUAAAUCAAAACUUUCAACAACGGAUCUCUUGGUUCUG
rnacentral:misc_RNA from 1 species